GUUCUGCUUUGGAUCCCUAUUCAGGAGCUUCGGAAGCAGGUUUUCUUUUAUCACGUUAUGUUCAAGAUUUGCAGAGUAAAUUGUUGGUUGAAGAUUGACACAAAACUCAGUCUCAAAAGUUGCUUAUGGAACCUGUUGAGUCAGUUACUGGUAUAAUUGUGAUUCCAACUAUUGGAGUGUUGUCUGCAAGCAUACUUACGGUGAAGAUUUCAAGUUUAAAGCUGGUUAUGAUUCAGAGGUUCGCCUUGGCUGGGCUUCCCUUUGGGUUGGAGAUGAAGGCGGGAAAGCAAAAACAGCUUCGAUGAAGAUGAAAGUUCAAUUCAUUCAAUUCGACUCGAUUUAUGCUUCGUUGCAACUUAAAUUUUAUUCUGACGUUGCUUCAGUUUUUUAUUCAGG